UGAGGCGGAGCAAACACAAAACACAGUCUCAGUUCAGAUUGUAGGCUGAAACUCGCCUAUAUGAAGUCGGAAUUGCUAGUAAUCGCGGAUCAGCAUGCCGCGGUGAAUACGUUCCCGGGCCUUGUACACACCGCCCGUCACACCAUGAGAGUCGAUAACACCCGAAGCCUGUAGUCUAACAGCAAUGAGGACGCAGUCGAAGGUGGGAUUGAUAAUUAGGGUGAAGUCGUAACAAGGUACC
rnacentral:rRNA from 1 species